AACAGACCUCUCAGCUCUGCUCACCGUUGUUGUACGACUGCAGAAACAUCUGAAGGAGGCUGAAGCUCCCACCGAUGAAGUCUAGCAGGACGUUUCCGAUGCUCCACCCCUCUGUGCUCUGGCGACGAAAAUUCAGUAGCAAGAAAGACCAGGAGCAGAAAGCUGGUUGAGGAGUGAGCUCUUGGCUGUCACACAAGACUCCAACCUAGGCCCAUGUGCUCGUUCAUGGGAGAGGAAAACUGUCCCACCCUACCCACCAGUGUUUCCAUACAGUGAUGUUUCUUGUAGAAAGAGAGCUGUGAAAUGCACUCAGAUAUC